ACAGACAGCACCAUCUGGCCUGGGGUCACAAGUACAGUUAAAUGUGGAGGCCUUGUGCCAAGAGCUUACAGCUAACAUAAUCAGAUUAGAAAAGGCCAUUCUGGCCCCNUUCCCUCUGGAUUUCAAUGAUGAAUUCUCAGAUCUGGAUGGAGUGGUACAACAAAGAAGGCAAGACAUGGAAGGAUACAGUAGUUCUGGAUCUCAGACCCCUGAAUCUGAGAACUCUCGAGAUUUCCAUGUGACAGAAUCCCAGACAGUUCUGAAUGUCUCCAAGGGAGAAACGAAACCAACUAGGGCAGAUCCCCUUGUGAACAGAGUACCUGAGGGAAAAGCCAAGAGUCUCCCUGGGCAUGCAGGUCAGUCAGAAACCACUGGACUCAUACCCAGAGUAAAGUCUGAGAAAUGGCCAACUCUCCACCAUAUUCUUAUAUUCUAUGCAAUUGUUGUCUGUGCACUGAUCAUCUCGACCUUCUACAUGAGAUACAGAAUUAAUACUCUGGAGGAGCAGCUGGGGUCACUAACCUCCACUGUGAACACCCAUCAGACUGAACAGACAGCACCAUCUGGCCUGGGGUCACAAGUACAGUUAAAUGUGGAGGCCUUGUGCCAAGAGCUUACAGCUAACAUAAUCAGAUUAGAAAAGAUACAAAACAACUUACAAAAGCUGCUUGAGAAUGGUGACUGAAGCUCAAGCCAUGCAAUACCUCGCACUUCCCUUGAAGAAGGUGCUCCGGGGGUGUUCUGGUGGAGCGCUCCCUGCUGGCAGAGGAGCUAGCGGACGGGCAGCCUCGCUUGCCCUUGGAGGUCUCAGGCUCAGGAAAGGGGGGAAUGGGGAAUAGUUCUGGUUCCUGUGCAAUAAAAGUUCACCUUGACUCUCUGAGGAAGUUUUCAGUGCUGCUGCCUGAAGCAAACAGACCCGUCUCUGGAGGUCUCGGGAAGGGCCCGGCGGACCCGUGGAUAAUUGUGGUUCAGCAGGUUAUUGUGACUGUGUCAGCAAACAUAUUCCACUCCAGCCUUUUCAGUCCUACCCAUCUGCCUUUUCUCUCCUGUAUCCACCCCCGCCUUAACCAGCCUUCAACGUAAGGGAUAUAUCAUGUGCCAACAAACUCGAUACAGUCCCUUAAAGAAUUUGCCAUGACUUUCCAAAAGGGGAAAAAAAAAAAAACAAAAAAACUCUGAUGGACAAACUUUCUUAAAACAAGUAACAUUUGAAUUUUGGGUUUUUUUUUUCCCUUUCUGAUGUUAUUUUCUGGUUUAAGUGAUGUGUGUAUCUUAACUUCUCAGCCGAGUAUUGGCAAGAAAAUUAGGCAAAGCUGAUUAAACUAUCCCAUUUUAUGUUUUGUUUUGUUCUUCUCAUUAAUACUUAAUAGGAUUGAUUCUCACCCACCCCAGGUCAAGAAUCUGUGAGACAUGAGACUAAAGUACUAAGUUUAAACUGACUUUGAAACCAAAACUAAUCUUUAAAACAAAAAGUAUAAUAGUGAUUUGAUACUGGAUGGAAGAUACUGCAUUUUUAAGAUUGUAGGUGGACUGUGUUUGUUUUGAAACAGGAUGUCUAUAAUUAAUGCUGAAACCCAUCAGCAUGAUGAUAGCAUGCUUUUCUCUUUUACUGACUAAAAUAUAUAACUGGUGGUUUGCUAACUUCUAUUUACCAUAUGGGUUGGCUGGUUUUUAUUAAUAAUUAUUUAGAUACCCUAAGAUUUGUUAAUAUAAAAGAUAUUCUGUUUAUCUAUAAUGCAUUUUAUAAUCAUUUCUAUGAAAUGUAUUUUGUUUAAUCAGAUAAGCUAAUAAGUGAAUUGGUUACAUCAUUUGUAUUUGUUAGCCUACUGGACAGGAAAUGUGCCUGGUGCACCCCUGGCUUUUAAUAAAUACUCAAUGGUUUAAAUACCUUGCUAA